CGCCGGCGCACCGCAUCCCUAGCGACCUGCAACCCCGGCGCGUCGCAUCCCGGGCGACCCCAUGCCCCAGCGCGCCCCAUCCCCGGUGCAUCUGAUCCCCAUCCGCCACCGUCUCUCCUCCGGCCCGGCGAGACCAGCACUGCCCUUGACUCUGCAACACAUCUCCGCUCCCAUCGCAUCUCAGGUCAGCACCGUAGGCCUCCCUCCUUCUGUCGUUCCUCCCAGCCCCCUCUUCUCUUCGAGGUGCUCCGCUCGCUGCCUCGUACUUAACCUUCCUGCUCCUCCACCCCUUCACUGCUGCUCCCUCCUGCUGUCCUCACCCACAAGCUAGUCAACUGGAAGAUCUACAUGUCAUCAGUCCAACUUCUUGCCCCGCCGCCGGUCACUCAAAAUGUUCUCUUGUUGAUUUAUGAGGUAUACCACAAGUUCUAUUUUUACAGAAGUUGAACUACAGGAUAUGAAGUUUGAUGGAUGCAGAGGUCGAAGGAGCUCCCUUUAGUUCAAUGGAUGCAACAAAAUAAUCCAUGUUGCCUACUAGAACUUGCGUGUGUGUUGUGGCGUGUGUGCUGGUGCAUGCCUGUUGCCUAAUGCGGCGUGCGAGCAUGUACACAAAUUGAACUGAAUGAUCUCCAGUAAGUGAAAUCAAUGAUCUCCUGUAUCUAAACGACAGGGGAGAUGCAUCAUGUACAAAAAAUGGUAGGAUCUUGAGGUGUUGCUGCUACUUCUUUCUUCUCAUGCCCUACUGUUGCUCCAUUCGAAUCCAUGCUACUUAUAUGAAAAUAAUUGAUGGUCUAGGUGCUUGUUGAAAUGCUUAUGAGAACCAAUUUUUGCUGUUUGGUAUUUGGUAUAAUAGCGCAAAGAAAGGAUGCCCUAUGAUGCCUCUUGCCGAAUAGAUUUAUUAGAAGUUCCAUUUUUCCAGCAAGUGUAUGGUCAGAUUCUCUUGAAAAAUUGUUAUAAAAGACACAAGGGAUGCAGCGGUGCCGCCACACCUCUGGUUUCUCGUUGGUAUAUUUUCCAUAUGAUCUGCAGCAGUUCUUCAGUGUGCGAUUCGACAAAAAGACCAUCAGUUCAACUACUAAAUUACCAAAAUAUUUUUUUGGUUUAGUUCAGUUACUAAGUUUAGUUCAGUACAAUUCUUUUAUAGUUACAGAUUAGUUCAAUAGUUAUAGUUUUGGUUUAAUUUAGGUUAGUUCAAUUACAAGCUGGUGUUUAGUUCCUGAUGUAGUAUUUUUGAGACCAUCCUAUAAUAUUUCCUCUCAAUUUUUGUUAGCAGAUUUGAUGCGUAGAAACAUCAUCUCCACACCCCCCCCCUCUAUUCAUGCGCAGUACAAGCUUCUCCGGCUGCCGCACCACCUGAAUCCAACGAGGCUAGGUCACACCGGCCCCGCAUCCGCCCACUUCCAAUGAGGCUGCGUCACUCACCGGCGCACCUCUGCCUCGCCGUGGGCAAUGGAUGCUCCUCUGUAGGUCAACCUCCUAGUAGAGGGUAGUUCUAUGCUCCAUGUCGUGCUACGUCCAGCGGUCCCUCAAGCUCCACAAGAACUUCUUUCUUGUUGCGUCUGCACCUCCGGAAAAGGGUCCACUGGGUUCUGUCCUGAGAGAAGCAUCACCGGCUGGGAGAGUUCAAUGAUCUGAACUAGGAAAGUUCAACGUGGAAAUUUGCUGCAGAUUUCAGUACUUGAGAAUUUUGUGUGUGUUUUGCAUUUUAGGUGACAGAACCAGUGAGUCCUACUACCGGUGUAGGCCAAGUUCAAGGACUUUGCUGCCGACAAGUAAUGACAGUUAUCCAGCGACACCAGAAACAAAAAUUAAAUGUUCUUGUGCGGAGGAUCCCUCGAAUUCACCUCCUCUCGUUCUUUAUCAACAAAUGAUUUUCACUAUCUGCAGCAAAUUAUAGUAUGGGAGUGGGAGUUUUAUGUUGUACUCUCUGCCUGCACAAUGCAUUUUGUAGUGUUAGUAGUUGUAGAGAUAUGUUUGUGUUAAAAAAUGGUUUUAUAUAUUUUGUGGUGUCGGUACUUUAGUAGAACAUUAGUUCAAAUCUUCAAAUUUUAUAUAGU